rnacentral:sRNA from 1 species
AAUGCAUCUUAGACUUGGCAGUGUUGAGAAUAAUUUUCCUCCCAAGGCUCCUAUCUGUUUUGUCAUUAUGGGUACAAUAAAGUCUUAGCAAAUGCCGUGGAGUUUCCCUGUAAUGGUAGCUAUUGUUAUGAAGCAUGCACUGAUGUGAUAUAUUUAUUAAUUUUUUGUUUAAUUUUCAUACUUAAAUUUUCCCUUUUUAUUGAGG